GAGAAUGUUAUCACGGGAGACACACGGCGGGUGCUAACGUCCGUCGUGAAGAGGGAAACAACCCAGACCGCCAGCUAAGGUCCCAAAGUCAUGGUUAAGUGGGAAACGAUGUGGGAAGGCCCAGACAGCCAGGAUGUUGGCUUAGAAGCAGCCAUCAUUUAAAGAAAGCGUAAUAGCUCACUGGUCGAGUCGGCCUGCGCGGAAGAUGUAACGGGGCUAAACCAUGCACCGAAGCUGCGGCAGCGACACUAUGUGUUGUUGGGUAGGGGAGCGUUCUGUAAGCCUGUGAAGGUGGCCUGUGAGGGUUGCUGGAGGUAUCAGAAGUGCGAAUGCUGACAUAAGUAACGAUAAAGCGGGUGAAAAGCCCGCUCGCCGGAAGACCAAGGGUUCCUGUCCAACGUUAAUCGGGGCAGGGUGAGUCGACCCCUAAGGCGAGGCCGAAAGGCGUAGUCGAUGGGAAACAGGUUAAUAUUCCUGUACUUGGUGUUACUGCGAAGGGGGGACGGAGAAGGCUAUGUUGGCCGGGCGACGGUUGUCCCGGUUUAAGCGUGUAGGCUGGUUUUCCAGGCAAAUCCGGAAAACCAAGGCUGAGGCGUGAUGACGAGGCACUACGGUGCUGAAGCGACAAAUGCCCUGCUUCCAGGAAAAGCCUCUAAGCAUCAGGUAACAUCAAAUCGUACCCCAAACCGACACAGGUGGUCAGGUAGAGAAUACCAAGGCGCUUGAGAGAACUCGGGUGAAGGAACUAGGCAAAAUGGUGCCGUAACUUCGGGAGAAGGCACGCUGAUAUGUAGGUGAAGCGACUUGCUCGUGGAGCUGAAAUCAGUCGAAGAUACCAGCUGGCUGCAACUGUUUAUUAAAAACACAGCACUGUGCAAACACGAAAGUGGACGUAUACGGUGUGACGCCUGCCCGGUGCCGGAAGGUUAAUUGAUGGGGUUAGCGGCAACGCGAAGCUCUUGAUCGAAGCCCCGGUAAACGGCGGCCGUAACUAUAACGGUCCUAAGGUAGCGAAAUUCCUUGUCGGGUAAGUUCCGACCUGCACGAAUGGCGUAAUGAUGGCCAGGCUGUCUCCACCCGAGACUCAGUGAAAUUGAACUCGCUGUGAAGAUGCAGUGUACCCGCGGCAAGACGGAAAGACCCCGUGAACCUUUACUAUAGCUUGACACUGAACAUUGAGCCUUGAUGUGUAGGAUAGGUGGGAGGCUUUGAAGUGUGGACGCCAGUCUGCAUGGAGCCGACCUUGAAAUACCACCCUUUAAUGUUUGAUGUUCUAACGUUGGCCCGUAAUCCGGGUUGCGGACAGUGUCUGGUGGGUAGUUUGACUGGGGCGGUCUCCUCCUAAAGAGUAACGGAGGAGCACGAAGGUUGGCUAAUCCUGGUCGGACAUCAGGAGGUUAGUGCAAUGGCAUAAGCCAGCUUGACUGCGAGCGUGACGGCGCGAGCAGGUGCGAAAGCAGGUCAUAGUGAUCCGGUGGUUCUGAAUGGAAGGGCCAUCGCUCAACGGAUAAAAGGUACUCCGGGGAUAACAGGCUGAUACCGCCCAAGAGUUCAUAUCGACGGCGGUGUUUGGCACCUCGAUGUCGGCUCAUCACAUCCUGGGGCUGAAGUAGGUCCCAAGGGUAUGGCUGUUCGCCAUUUAAAGUGGUACGCGAGCUGGGUUUAGAACGUCGUGAGACAGUUCGGUCCCUAUCUGCCGUGGGCGCUGGAGAACUGAGGGGGGCUGCUCCUAGUACGAGAGGACCGGAGUGGACGCAUCACUGGUGUUCGGGUUGUCAUGCCAAUGGCACUGCCCGGUAGCUAAAUGCGGAAGAGAUAAGUGCUGAAAGCAUCUAAGCACGAAACUUGCCCCGAGAUGAGUUCUCCCUGACUCCUUGAGAGUCCUGAAGGAACGUUGAAGACGACGACGUUGAUAGGCCGGGGGUGUAAGCGCAGCGAUGCGUUGAGCUAACCGGUACUAAUGAACCGUGAGGCUUAACCU
rnacentral:rRNA from 1 species